ensembl:lncRNA
GAAAAAGGUAUAGAAGACCUGAAAAAAUUUCAAUGUCAGCGAGAUAGAAGUAGCUAUACUCUUCCCACAAUGCUCUGGGCCACUUAAGUGCCCAAGGGUGAUAAAGGAGAGAGACCAUUGAGUCUGAUCACUGCUGUCAGUUUGGCACAUAGAAUUCUAGGCUUCUAGGGGCAGGGUUAAUGGUUGUGACAACUGUCUGGCAUCAUGAGGAAGUAAAAUAAGCUCUAGACCUGAAAUUGAUAAGCUAUGUAUUUCAGGAUCAGACUGACUGAAUGCAGCUAGUCUGUGCUUAGAGAACUGGCCCCUAGAUAGGUCUUUGAGUUUCCAUGAACUUACAGGAUAGGAAUUAAGAGCUUGUUUGGGAGAGAUGGGGAAAGUUAGGUCAGAGGAAAGGGUGCUUCUGUUGGUUUAUAUGGUGUGUCCUGGGCAGAGCUGAGACCUGAUCCUUACUGAAGCCUUUGUAGGCUGAGGCUAUUGUGCAUCUACCCCGACUUCCUGGGUUGCUCUUCUGAAGCGGGGCCUGUCUGUAUUUACACUCCAGCUGCUCUCUUGCCUGAAGGAGUAACAGUGGGUGGGAAGGAAGGAAUCCCGAGUCUGCCAUAGUCAUCUGCUUUUCCCUGGCCAGCGGUGAAGUGAGGGUUUGGGCUCUGGUUUAUAGGUACUUCUUAAAGCCAGUGUUUCUCCCAAGAGUUGCCGUGGGGGUUGAGAGCAAAACUGAGUGAGUAGAGGUUUAAGUUUCUCACCUCCUCUUCAAAGCACUGAUGCUCAUCUAGAAUCUUAUGUUGCUUCGUUAAAAGACUUAACCUGAAACAGCCACCCAUAAACACAGCAGGAGGCAGGGCUGUCCUGAGAUGCACACUCAAGGUUAAUACUGCAGAGUGUCUUAGCUCCUCUUGCCAGGACCUUAGGGCCCUGCCUGUCCCCAGCCCAUCCCCAUUUACCAUCUCCCAUCUUAUUGUUCUCACAGGUCCUAGAUGGAAGGAAGCCCACUGGGGGUAAGCUGGAGGUGAAGGUGAGGCUUCGGGAGCCACUGAGCGGCCAAGACAUGCAGACGGUGACAGAGAACUGGCUGGUCCUGGAGCCCAGAGGCCUGUGAGGUGGGUGGCUCUCGGAGCCCUCUGAACCUCUGCUCCACUCUCUGCCAGGGGCCCACAGAGCCCUUUUGCUUACUCAGCCCCAGCUUACUGCCAGGGAGAAAGCCUGGACUUCCAUCUGAGAGGAAUCCAGAGGGGCAGAACUAUUGGUGCAGACUGACCUGUGCCUUGUGCCUGUGCAGCAGAUGGUCAGCACUGGGAGAGGAUCAGCUGGCGGCCGUGUACAGGAACUUCCUUUCCUAGCUUUGCUGGCUGUGGAAGCCUUUGUGCAUAAGAGAGAUGCUGCUACAUAAGCACCAAAGACCUCGUUAAGUACAUGCCCUACUGACCCAGAAGCAGGUGGGAUUCCAGGAGCUCUCCCCCUGCCUCCCACUCCCCCAGAUGAGGGUAAAGGCAAGGACACCCUCAUUGCUCUGUGCCAUAGAGUCCUAUAGCCCUUAACCUCUACACAGCAACUGUGUACAGCUUACCCCAGUCCCGGUUGAACCAUUUCUGGAUGUGCCUUUAAAAGAUGUAACUAAGGGAUAGGAGAGCUCGAGGGUGAUUGGGAACCUUCCCUGCUUGGGGACUCAGCCCGAGACUCAGUUGGCCAAUGGCAGCAGCCUGUCCCCCACCCUAGCAUUGCCUGUGCCUGUGCCUUUGUUCCUGACAACUGCUGCACUAACCUUCCUGCUUCCCAGUGGAUGCGGUAGAAGAGGAAAGUUAUUUUUGGUACUGCUUGGUGGGAAAUAAGGGGAAGGUUGUAUCUUGGGUUUGGUCCAUGUACCUAAGAUGAAAGACUGUUAACUGAGGAGAAAAAUAUAUAUUAUAUAUAUAUAUAUAUAAUUUUAUGUAGCCAAUUUUUAUUUAAGAAACUAGGUCUAAUUCAUUGUAGGGAUUUUACACUCUACACACAUUGUAAACCAUCAGUUUUAAACAAACACAUGCUUCCUGGCACUGUUUAAAAGCUAGAGUAGUGGUAAUAUUUGUCCACUGCUGCUAUAGCUUCCUCUUUGAGAGAGCAAGGGAGGCCUUCAUUCACUCGGCUUAUUAUCUGGGGCAUACCUUAGUUCUUUCCAAAAAAUUCUCCUUUGGUUUUUUCUGAAGGGAUGGAAACAAUGAAGGGACUUGUAACAAGUUUAACAUUCGGGCAGGGGAUUUAGCUCAGUGGUUUUGCUGCCUGCUGCGCAAGUGCAAGAACCCGAGUUUGAUCCUCGGUACCAAAACCAAAAUGAAACAAAAACAGGUUUAACAUUCAAAACUCCCAAUAUUCUACAUUUCUUAGAAAUAAACACCCGUUUUGAAGCAUUAAGUCCAACAAAACAUUCAAGAUUAUUUGUAAAAGGCUGUAAGUGAAGCAAGUAAAUUCAGCUCACUGAUCACUAUAGUAUUGCAUAAGCACAGCUCAGGGUUUGAGCUUUUGUGGCGUCCCUGGGGAUAACAGGGUUAGGCCAUGCUUCACUACCCCUAAGAGCAGAGCUUUUAGUGGUAACAUAGCAGGAACUACAGACGAUGACUUUCCCAAGAGCUUACUGGUCAGUCUUACCUGUCAGUGAGCUACCAAAACUUCCACAGAGUAGAGAUUUAACAUUCACUUGAAGUCACACACACCUAUGUCAAGUAGUGAUCUAGAAUGAAGAGUGUCAUCAGGAACAGAGACAGUUGAGCCUUAUUUUCCCCUUACGGUUUGUGUCCAACCCAGCACUUACUAAUGAAGAACCACUGGGUUUAUCUGCAAAGGUUCUGACAAGCCCAGUUCAGCCUUCUACUGGAAAUACCUUGUUUCAACAGGGCACUUUUUAUGGCUCCAAAGAUUGUUGUCUUUGUAACACAUGCGGUUUCAGCGGGCUUCACUGCUCUUUAUAAAAACAAAACCUCAGGGCUGACCGAGGCAAGACAAAGCUACCCACUGGACUUGGAGACUGGUUCUUAAAAGGCCUUUGUUGUAGCAAAGGCUUGCAUGGGUAGUGGGAGGGGCCUGCCCAGCCUCCUGUGGUCCUGAUUUGUCCAAAUACCAUAACCAAACAUUGGAGAUUAUCAUUCAUGUGCAGUUGGGAACCAGGCAUGACCCAAAUCAUUUUCAAAUUUUAAAUUCUUUGAUCUAGUGCAGGACAUACUUUCUUGUGAAUUAGCUGAAUAUGAAAAAAAUCGCUCAAUUUUCUUGCUAACAAAGGACAGAUUUGUUGUGACAGCAUUAUUUUUCCUUUUUCAUAGCGCCAUUAUGAAACUGGAAUGGUUGCUUCCAAAUUUUGAGAGAUUGUUUUCCCAGUAUUUGAGACAUCUCCUAAAAGGUCUUGCCCUUUAAGUAAGGUCAGCUCUUUGCAGGUCGGAACAGUGAGGCUGGGACUGGAGAAACACUGCCUGGCAUUUGGCAAGCAUUCAAUAAUUUUAAAAAUUUAAUAAAUUACCAGAAUGACAAUUCUGUUUCUCUUCAGUUAAGGAGAUGUGCCGUAGCUAAGUUUCCAAUCUAGAUAAGUUUGCCUGAUUAGAAAUGUGAUGCUUCAGCACUUCACUUUAUAUAAUUCUUACUGUACACAUUGUAUAAAGCCAAAGAUAAACACGAGGAAAAAACAAGGUAGUCUUGGUUGUUUUAUACCCAAUUCCAUAAGCUGAUUUUACUGCACAUAAAGGACAUUUUAUUCAGUUGAGAAUGGACCCGACUAUACAGGGCCACAGAUUGUUUUUAUUGGGAGAAUUAAAAAGCCUGCAUUGAUCCAGAAGAAUGAAUGUACAAUGCCAAGAUGGAUUUGGCAGAGGAGGAAAAUAAACUAUAAACAGGACCAGCCACUAUAGAAGCGCCAGACUUCUGAGGUGUAUUUAGGCCUAAGCUGGAUAUUAACACUAAAUACACCUGCCCCUGUUCUCAUCAGGCUAGAGGCAGUUGCUGGUGCCAUGGGUUUAGGGGAAGCUUAAAAGCUCUAUUCCUCUCAAUCUAUGGGGAAGGUAUCCAGUUCUUGGUAGCUCCUAAUGCCAACACCUUUGGAGAGGCAGCUAUAGAUACAACCCUUAUCCCAAUUAACAGAGAAAGGGAUGAACCCAGCCAAGCUUUCCAGGCCAGGCCUUUGGGUGUCUGGGAAACAGCUACUGCCUCAAACACAGCUCCACAGGCUGUUAUUGCCAAGUGCUAG